rnacentral:rRNA from 1 species
CCCUUAGAGUUUGAUCCUGGCUCAGGAUGAACGCUAGCGACAGGCUUAACACAUGCAAGUCGAGGGGCAGCGGGGGUAGCAAUACCCGCCGGCGACCGGCGCACGGGUGAGUAACGCGUAUGCAACUUACCUAUCAGAGGGGGAUAACCCGGCGAAAGUCGGACUAAUACCGCAUGAAGCAGGGGCCCCGCAUGGGGAUAUUUGCUAAAGAUUCAUCGCUGAUAGAUAGGCAUGCGUUCCAUUAGGCAGUUGGCGGGGUAACGGCCCACCAAACCGACGAUGGAUGGGGGUUCUGAGAGGAAGGUCCCCCACAUUGGUACUGAGACACGGACCAAACUCCUACGGGAGGCAGCAGUGAGGAAUAUUGGUCAAUGGGCGUAAGCCUGAACCAGCCAAGUCGCGUGAGGGAUGAAGGUUCUAUGGAUCGUAAACCUCUUUUAUAAGGGAAUAAAGUGUGGGACGUGUCCUAUUUUGUAUGUACCUUAUGAAUAAGGAUCGGCAACUCUGG